rnacentral:tRNA from 1 species
GCCUGGGUAGCUCAGUUGGUAGAGCAACGGAUUGAAAAUCCGUGUGUCGGCGGUUCGAUUCCGUCCCCAGGCACCA